ACGUAGGGGGCGAGCGUUAUCCGGAUUCACUGGGCGUAAAGGGCGCGCAGGCGGCUAUGUAAGUCCGGCGUGAAAUCCCACGGCUCAACUGUGGAAUUGCGUCGGAUACUGCAUUGGCUCGAGGACGGUAGAGGCUUCUGGAACUAGCGGUGUAGCGGUGAAAUGCGCAGAUAUCGCUAGGAACGCCGGUGGCGAAGGCGGGAGGCUGGGCCGAUCCUGACGCUGAGGCGCGAAAGCUAGGGGAGCGAAC
rnacentral:rRNA from 1 species